AACGUACGCUGGCGGCACGCCUAACACAUGCAAGUCGAACGAAGUAGCAAUACUUAGUUGGCAGACGGGUGAGUAACAUGUAGGUAUCUGCCCUUUGGCCUGGAAUAACACGAGGAAACUUGUGCUAAUACCGGAUAAGUCUUUACGGAGAAAGCUUUAUGCACCAUUGGAUGAGCCUGCACUUGAUUAGUUUGUUGGUGGGGUAAUGGCCUACCAAGACUUUGAUCAAUAGCUGAUUUGAGAGGAUGAUCAGCCACAUUGGGACUGAGACACGGCCCAAACUCCUACGGGAGGCAGCAGUGGGGAAUCUUGCACAAUGGAGGAAACUCUGAUGCAGCGAUGCCGCGUGAGUGAAGAAGGCCCUUGGGUUGUAAAGCUCUUUCGUCGGGGAAGAAAAUGACUGUACCCGAAUAAGAAGGUCCGGCUAACUUCGUGCCAGCAGCCGCGGUAAUACGAAGGGACCUAGCGUAGUUCGGAAUUACUGGGCUUAAAGAGUUCGUAGGUGGUUGAAAAAGUUGGUGGUGAAAUCCCAGAGCUUAACUCUGGAACUGCCAUCAAAACUUUUCAGCUAGAGUAUGAUAGAGGAAAGCAGAAUUUCUAGUGUAGAGGUGAAAUUCGUAGAUAUUAGAAAGAAUACCAAUUGCGAAGGCAGCUUUCUGGAUCAUUACUGACACUGAGGAACGAAAGCAUGGGUAGCGAAGAGGAUUAGAUACCCUCGUAGUCCAUGCCGUAAACGAUGUGUGUUAGACGUUGGAAAUUUAUUUUCAGUGUCGCAGCGAAAGCGAUAAACACACCGCCUGGGGAGUACGACCGCAAGGUUAAAACUCAAAUGAAUUGACGGGGACCCGCACAAGUAGUGGAGCAUGUGGUUUAAUUCGAAGAUACGCGCAGAACCUUACCAACACUUGACAUGUUCGUCGCGACUCUAAGAGAUUAGAGUUUUCGGUUCGGCCGGACGAAACACAGGUGCUGCAUGGCUGUCGUCAGCUCGUGUCGUGAGAUGUUGGGUUAAGUCCCGCAACGAGCGCAACCCUCACUUUUAGUUGCCAUCAUUAAGUUGGGCACUCUGAAAGAACUGCCAGUGAUAAGCUGGAGGAAGGUGGGGAUGACGUCAAGUCCUCAUGGCCCUUACGUGUUGGGGCUACACACGUGCUACAAUGGUAUCUACAACAGGAAGCGAGACGGCGACGUCAAGCAAAUCCUUAAAAGAUACCUCAGUUCGGAUUGCACUCUGCAACUCGAGUGCAUGAAAGCUGGAAUUACUAGUAAUCGUGGAUCAGCGUGCCACGGUGAAUGCGUUCCCGGGUCU
rnacentral:rRNA from 1 species